GUGCCAGCAGCCGCGGUAAUACGUAGGCAGCAAACGUUGUUCGGAAUUACUGGGCGUAAAGAGUGUGUAGGCGGUUGGGUAAGUUUGGUGUGAAAUCUCCCGGCUUAACUGGGAGGGUGCGCCGAAAACUGCCUGGCUUGAGUACUGGAGAGGAUAGCGGAAUUCCUGGUGUAGCGGUGAAAUGCGUAGAUAUCAGGAGGAACACCUGCGGUGUAGACGGCUGUCUGGACAGUAACUGACGCUGAGACACGAAAGCGUGGGGAGCAAACAGGAUUAGAUACCCUGGUAGUCC
rnacentral:rRNA from 1 species